GACGAACGCUGGCGGCGUGCUUAACACAUGCAAGUCGAACGGAAAGGCCCUGCUUUUGUGGGGUGCUCGAGUGGCGAACGGGUGAGUAACACGUGAGUAACCUGCCCUUGACUUUGGGAUAACUUCAGGAAACUGGGGCUAAUACCGGAUAGGAGCUCCUGCUGCAUGGUGGGGGUUGGAAAGUUUCGGCGGUUGGGGAUGGACUCGCGGCUUAUCAGCUUGUUGGUGGGGUAGUGGCUUACCAAGGCUUUGACGGGUAGCCGGCCUGGGAGGGGGACCGGCCACAUUGGGACUGAGAUACGGCCCAGACGCCUACGGGAGGCAGCAGUGGGGAAUAUUGCACAAUGGGCGGAAGCCUGAUGCAGCAACGCCGCGUGCGGGAUGACGGCCUUCGGGUUGUAAACCGCUUUCGCCUGUGACGAAGCGUGAGUGACGGUAAUGGGUAAAGAAGCACCGGCUAACUACGUG
rnacentral:rRNA from 1 species